rnacentral:rRNA from 1 species
AACGAACGCUGGCGGCAGGCCUAACACAUGCAAGACGAACGCUGUAGCAAUACAGAGUGGCAGACGGGUGAGUAACGCGUGGGAAUCUUCCUAUCGGUACGGAAUAGCUCAGGGAAACUUGGGGUAAUACCGCAUACGCCCUUCGGGGGAAGGAUUUAUCGCCGAUAGAUGAGCCCGCGUCUGAUUAGCUAGUUGGUGAGGUAAUGGCUCACCAAGGCGACGAUCAGUAGCUGGUCUGAGAGGAUGACCAGCCACACUGGGACUGAGACACGGCCCAGACUCCUACGGGAGGCAGCAGUGGGGAAUAUUGGACAAUGGGCGCAAGCCUGAUCCAGCCAUGCCGCGUGAGUGACGAAGGUCUUCGGAUUGUAAAGCUCUUUUGGCGGGGACGAUAAUGACGGUACCCGCAGAAUAAGCCCCGGCUAACUUCGUGCCAGCCGCCGCUGUAACAC